rnacentral:rRNA from 1 species
UACGUAGGUGACCAGCGUUGUCCGGAUUUACUGGGCGUAAAGAGCGCGCAGGCGGUCGUUCAAGUCGAGUGUGAAAGCCCCCGGCUCAACUGGGGAGGGUCAUUCGAUACUGAUCGACUUGAAGGCAGGAGAGGGAAGUGGAAUUCCCGGUGUAGUGGUGAAAUGCGUAGAGAUCGGCAGGAACACCCAGGGGGAAACCAGCCGACUGGGCAUCUACUGACGCUGAGGUGCGAGAGCGUGGGGAGCGAACCGG